rnacentral:rRNA from 1 species
UACGUAGGGGGCUAGCGUUGUCCGGAAUCAUUGGGCGUAAAGAGCGUGUAGGCGGCCCGGUAAGUCCGCUGUGAAAGUCGGGGGCUCAACCCUCGGAUGCCGGUGGAUACUGUCGGGCUCGAGUACGGAAGAGGCGAGUGGAAUUCCUGGUGUAGCGGUGAAAUGCGCAGAUAUCAGGAGGAACACCUAUUGCGAAGGCAGCUCGCUGGGACGUUACUGACGCUGAGACGCGAAAGCGUGGGGAGCAAAAAGG